rnacentral:ncRNA from 1 species
GAAAGCCGGAUGCAUAACGAAAGGUGCACGUCCGGUUUGGAAGGCGGGCGUCGGAAACCGGCAGCAGCAAUGCUGCACGGCGCUGACGCUCGACCUUAC